UACGGAGGGUGCAAGCGUUGUCCGGAUUCAUUGGGUUUAAAGGGUGCGCAGGCGGGACAUUAAGUCAGGGGUGAAAGACGGUUGCUCAACAAUCGCAGUGCCUUUGAUACUGGUGUUCUUGGGUGACCUUGAGGUAGGCGGAAUGGGUGGUGUAGCGGUGAAAUGCAUAGAUACCACCCAGAACUCCGAUUGCGAAGGCAGCCUACUGGAGGUUUACCGACGCUCAGGCACGAAAAGCGUGGGGGAUCAAACAGG
rnacentral:rRNA from 1 species